GACGAACCGUGCGAACGUUAUUCGGAAUCACUGGGCUUAAAGGGUGCGUAGGCGGGUUGCCAAGUCUGUGGUGAAGUCCUCCGGCUUAACCGGAGAACUGCCGUGGAUACUGGCGACCUCGAGGGGUGUAGGGGCUUGCGGAACUGUGCGUGGAGCGGUGAAAUGCGUUGAUAUGCACAGGAACUCCGGUGGCGAAAGCGGCGAGCUGGACACCUUCUGACGCUGAGGCACGAAAGCGUGGGUAGCGAACCGG
rnacentral:rRNA from 1 species